CCUACGGGAGGCAGCAGUAGGGAAUAUUGCUCAAUGGGGGAAACCCUGAAGCAGCAACGCCGCGUGGAGGAUGAAGGUUUUCGGUUUGUAAACCCCUUUCGUCAGAGAAGAUAAUGACGGUACCUAACUAAUAAGCACCGGCUAACUCCGUGCCAGCAGCCGCGGUAAUACGGAGGGUGCAAGCGUUACCCGGAUUUACUGGGCGUAAAGAGCGCGUAGGCGGGAUAGCAAGUCAGAUGUGAAAUCCUAUGGCUUAACCCUAGAACUGCAUUUGAAACUGUUAUACUAGAGUAUGGGAGAGGUAGGUGGAAUUCUUGGUGUAGGGGUAAAAUCCGUAGAGAUCAAGAGGAAUACUCAUGGCGAAGGCGACCUACUAGAACAUAACUGACGCUGAUGCGCGAAAGCGUGGGGAGCAAACAGGAUUAGAUACCCCAGUAGUC
rnacentral:rRNA from 1 species